GCUACAUUAAAUCCAUUCUUAAUUUUUUAUCUAAAGAAAAUUUUAAGUUUUUUUAUUUCUUUUUUGCUUUGAUAUAAAAUUAAAAAUGUUCUGGUAUGGCACACAGACAUAACGUGCCGGUAGUUGUUUGGUAUGAUUAUGGGCACUGAGAUUUAAAUCCUUGGUCAACAUUAACCAAGUUUGAUGCUGUCAUCUUCCUUGAGUGUAUAAUCUGUUAAAUAUAAAAAUCAGUUUCUUGUCCACUUUGAUUGCUUAUUUGUAGGCAUUAUCCUGGCAUCUUCUUUUUUAUUUUUUAGGAAAUAAUCUUGCAAUCGAUUCCUAAAUGAUCUUAACUGGUAGCACCAUGCAAAGGGAGUGGUUUCACAAACAGUCAACAGGAUCACAGUGGGUUCAGGUUGUGGUUUUGUUUGCUGAGAACUAAGGUUCAUAGCAAGGACUUGUAGCUUCUGAUUGCUGCUUGCUUUGUUUUAUAGCUUGCAGUUGAUGAUACCACAAGCAAUCUAUUUUUUUGGGUCACGACACACAUACGAGGCAUGAGUAUGCCUAGAUUUUUACAUGCUUAUAUAGAGGUCAGAAAUUUUAAGCAUUCUUUUGAACCCAUUCAUGACGAACUAUUAGUAGUUUAAGCACAGCUGGCACCAAAUCCAAUUUGAGCAGCUAGUUGUUCAUAG
rnacentral:lncRNA from 1 species